AAAAAAAAUUCCAAGUACAGUUCCGGAACGUCUCAACCAAGUCGGAUAAACAUAUUUGCGAUUUCUCUCACUCCGUCAUCUCUCCAACAAUAAUUCUCCACUUUGAUGCUUUGAUUUGAAUCCAGUCGAAUUACAGAUCUGUAAUUUCGACUCUUCUACGUCCGAGAUCGGAUAUACGGAACAAUUACGACGUCGCGUAUCGAGGAAGGCGAGUCUAUUGUACGCGCGAAAGUGCCAAUAACCCGAAAAGCACACACACACACACAUACACAGAGAGCAGAGACUCACACAGGCGCGCACGCACACUCAGAGACGUACAAAUAGGGUUAAGCUUUUAAUAUCUCAAGAUCGAGGCGAGUCCCUCCUCGGUUUUCGGCGUGAAACUCGUCAUUACACGGCCAUAUGCCGAGAUUAGCGGCUCGCGAGGCUGCACCGUAAUAAGGUAUAGCGGAUCCACGCGAGUCUCGCAACAUCGCGAUACGAUACGCGUAUAUUUACAUCGCGGCUGGAGCGAAGGAAGGAGGCGACGAUGUCUCGGACACACACCGGCAAAAGUCUGCGCGAGAGAGAACAGCUGGGUUCCGCAACUCCUCCUCAUCCCUUCUCUCUCUCUCUGUCUCUCCUUCUUCUUCUUCUUCUUCUUCUUCCUCUGCCGCUGCGUGGACUAAAUCUUCUCGCACGGGGGAAAUAACGGAGCUAUUAUGUCACGAGCGAUAUCUCUCUCUUUCUCUCUUCCAGCCUCACACCCAACGCCCGAACGUCGCGCACGCUCGAACGAGGAUGUACCCUGAAGAGGGGAAGAGGAUGGGUCGACGCGAAGCUCCGGAUUGAUGCCGCUCUACUAAGGUCCGAGAGAGAGAGAUAGAGAGAGACGAAGAAGCGCAGGAUACCCGCUCGACACGUCGCUCCUGAUUUUGAGAACCGCUGGCGGCCGGAUGUCUCUCCAUUUGCUGCGCUCGUCGAGGCGACGAUGUCGAGAAUGGGUCGGGACCAGGGUGGAUUACCUCGUCGUUCUUCCAAGCCGCAUAUCACCGUCAGGGUGCUGGGAACCGCACCGUUAACCUUCCGCGGGAUUCUGGAUCUCUUCUGUCGAAGACGCUUCCUUCGAUGUUGCGCCACCCACCCACCGACCUAUGUAUAUCUACCCACCUAUCCUCACCUUAUCUAUUCCUACCUCUAUCCACCUACUCCUACCCUACCCCUGACCUAGCGUAAGCCUAACCCUGAUCUAACUUUAUGCACCUAACUUCACGCAUCUGUCAUGAAUGUUGACAUAAGUUGUAAAAAAUAGAUGAAGAUGUGCUAUCUGUCGGGUAAAAUUGAUCAAGAAAUUGGAAACAUCGAUUCUAAGGGUCUAUUUUCGUAACUUUUUAUAAACUGGGACACAAUAAUGGAUGAUAAAUUCGCUGCAAGAGCUGUUUGCGCACCAAGACUGUUGUCUGCCUUCAACACCUUGAAACAUUCAUCUCGAAAUUCGUCGUUUACUGUGUUCUUAAUGAUUCUACUUAACGCAGAGCUCAAUAUUGGACAAAAUUUCAAAUUGUCCUCAGAUUUGUCGCCCAUCUUCUAAUUUAUAUCCUGUCUAUGCCUCUGCGAUGUGACUUAUUUAACCUGUGAUAUCAAACUAUUAUAUACAUAUACAUCAUUGUUGUUAUUACGUUGACAUAACAAGAUAAGAAUUAAAUGUGAUGUUACAUAAGGAUUUAUUAUUAAUAAUACAUUCAACAACAGUU